AAUAUUGGACAAUGGGCGAAAGCCUGAUCCAGCCAUGCCGCGUGGAUGAUGAAGGCCCUAUGGUUGUAAAGACCUUUUGACGGGGAAGAUAAUGACGGUACCCGUAGAAGAAGCCCCGGCUAACUUCGUGCCAGCAGCCGCGGUAAUACGAAGGGGGCUAGCGUUGCUCGGAAUCACUGGGCGUAAAGCGCACGUAGGCGGCUUUUUAAGUCAGGGGUGAAAUCCUGGAGCUCAACUCCAGAACUGCCUUUGAUACUGGAGAGCUUGAGUUCGGGAGAGGUGAGUGGAGCUGCGAGUGUAGAGGUGAAAUUCGUAGAUAUUCACAAGAACACCAGUGGCGAAGGCGGCUCACUGGCCCGAUACUGACGCUGAGGUGCGAAAGCGUGGGGAGCAAACAGG
rnacentral:rRNA from 1 species